rnacentral:rRNA from 1 species
AGUGAGCGCUGGCGGUAGGCCUAACACAUGCAAGUCGAACGGCAGCACAGUAAGAGCUUGCUCUUACGGGUGGCGAGUGGCGGACGGGUGAGGAAUACAUCGGAAUCUACUUUUUCGUGGGGGAUAACGUAGGGAAACUUACGCUAAUACCGCAUACGACCUACGGGUGGAAGCAGGGGAUCUUCGGACCUUGCGCGAUUGAAUGAGCCGAUGUCGGAUUAGCUAGUUGGCGGGGUAAAGGCCCACCAAGGCGACGAUCCGUAGCUGGUCUGAGAGGAUGAUCAGCCACACUGGAACUGAGACACGGUCCAGACUCCUACGGGAGGCAGCAGUGGGGAAUAUUGGACAAUGGGCGCAAGCCUGAUCCAGCCAUACCGCGUGGGUGAAGAAGGCCUUCGGGUUGUAAAGCCCUUUUGUUGGGAAAGAAAAGCAGCAGGUUAAUACCCCGCUGUUCUGACGGUACCCAAAGAAUAAGCACCGGCUAACUUCGUG